GUACCUACUAGGCUAAAUCUUUAUGUAAACUUCUACCUAUAAUAUUAUUAUUUAUUAUUUAUAAUAUUGCAAAUUACAGUGCGUAAACGGUAGACAGUAGACCAGAGUUAACUAUUAGAUUAUAGAUUUUCAUUUUCUAACAGGAAUUUUCGUUAUUGUUAUAUAAUUAAGUAUUUAUUAUAUACAACUGUUUUUACUACAUUCAACAACAUGCCGAAUGCAUGUUUACUUUGCUUGAAGUCAUCAAAAUCACACCCAGGUCUUUCAUUGCAUAAAUUUCCAACAAAUUCCUUGCUACGUAGUAGUUGGCUCAAAGCCCGUGGAUUUCUAGAUAGAGACUAUGGACCUAAUAGAAAGUUAUGCUCAAGGCAUUUUGAGGAAGAUUGUUUUGACGGUAAUAUUAACGGUAUUUAAAGCCGAAGUCAAUACCCACACUACAUUUAAAAUGUUGAAAAAAACAUACAACAUACCAGAAAUUUUACAUACAAGUAUAACAACAGAUGUUGUGGUGUAUUGCUAUUAGAACCUGGAGUAUUAUUGUCGGAUGUUUCAAAUCAUAAUGUUAUUGAUGAACUAAAAGAACUUUUGAAUUUAUUGUCAAGUCCUAAUAUAAUAGCACAAAGUUCUAUAAUUGAAACACCAGAGAACAAUAUUUUGAGAAAAUGUUUUGUCGGUGAUAUUAAAUACUCCACGACGUGCAAAGCAUUAUUUUAAACAAUCCAAAAUCAAUAUAAUAAAUCACAGAAAAAAAAUCAAAGUAUUACAACAAAAAGUUAGAAGACUUAGAACCAAGUUAUCAAACUUUGAAGCCCUAUUUAAACAUGAAAAAAAAAAAAAUUAUAUAACUGAUGAUGCUCAUGAUAAUAUAUUGGUGUCAAUGUAGAGUACAACAUAACCUUGUACUAAGCUUCCAAACCAAUAAAAACCGUUGAUUGAAAAUUCUAAAAAAAAAUGUUUGAUUCAAAUAUCAAAGUAUACUGAAGCAUGCAACAUACUUGUAAUGGAACAAAUUGUCUCUAUUAUGUAAAUGUUUAUCUAAGUAAUUCAUAAAUGUUAGAAAAGGAUUUAUUGUUCACAGUUUGUAUCUAAUAAAAUAUUUUAUAUGGUCGAUUUUAAUAAAAUACAUACUAAAGAGGAA
rnacentral:lncRNA from 1 species